AUUGAACGCUGGCGGCAUGCUUUACACAUGCAAGUCGAACGGUAACAGGCCGCAAGGUGCUGACGAGUGGCGAACGGGUGAGUAAUGCAUCGGAACGUGCCCAGUCGUGGUGGAUAACUACUCGAAAGAGUAGCUAAUACCGCAUACGAUCUAUGGAUGAAAGCGGGGGACCGUAAGGCCUCGCGCGAUUGGAGCGGCCGAUGUCAGAUUAGGUAGUUGGUGGGGUAAAGGCUCACCAAGCCAACGAUCUGUAGCUGGUCUGAGAGGACGACCAGCCACACUGGGACUGAGACACGGCCCAGACUCCUACGGGAGGCAGCAGUGGGGAAUUUUGGACAAUGGGCGCAAGCCUGAUCCAGCAAUGCCGCGUGGAGGAAGAAGGCCUUCGGGUUGUAAACUGCUUUUGUACGGAACGAAACGGCUCUGGUUAAUACCCGGGGCUAAUGACGGUACCGUAAGAAUAAGCACCGGCUAACUACGUG
rnacentral:rRNA from 1 species